GAUAGGGUGGCUGAAUUUUUAGGUUGCAAAUUGUAAAUUUGUAUAUGGUUUUGAAUACCCCCUUUCA
rnacentral:tRNA from 1 species